GUCGAGAAUCAUUCACAAUGGGGGAAACCCUGAUGGUGUGACGCCGCGUGGAGGAUGAAGGUCUUCGGAUUGUAAACUCCUGUCAUGUGGGAGUAAAGCCGGGUGUUAAAUGCAUGCCGGUCUGAGAGUACCACAAGAGGAAGGGACGGCUAACUCUGUGCCAGCAGCCGCGGUAAUACAGAGGUCCCAAGCGUUGUUCGGAAUCACUGGGCGUAAAGGGUGCGUAGGCGGCGCGGAAAGUCAGGGGUGAAAUCCCGGAGCUCAACUCCGGAACUGCCUUGGAUACUCCCGCGCUUGAGAACUGGAGGGGAGACCGGAAUUCACGGUGGAGCAGUGAAAUGCGUGGAUAUCGUGAGGAACACUAGUGGCGAAGGCGGGUCUCUGGACAGUAUCUGACGCUGAGGCACGAAGGCCAGGGGAGCGAACGGGAUUAGAAACCCUAGUAGUCC
rnacentral:rRNA from 1 species